rnacentral:misc_RNA from 1 species
GAUGAAGAACGCAGCGAAAUGCGAUGCGUAAUGUGAAUUGCAAAUUCAGUGAAUCAUCGAGUCUUUGAACGCACAUUGCGCCCCCUGGUAUUCCGGGGGGCAUGCCUGUCCGAGCGUCAUUGCUGCCCUCAAGCACGGCUUGUGUGUUGGGCCCCGUCCUCCGAUCCCGGGGGACGGGCCCGAAAGGCAGCGGCGGCACCGCGUCCGGUCCUCGAGCGUAUGGGGCUUUGUCACCCGCUCUGUAGGCCCGGCCGGCGCUUGCCGAUCAACCCAAAUUUUUAUCCAGGUUGACCUCGGAUCAGGUAGGGAUACCCGCUGAACUUAAGCAUAUCAAUAAGCGGAGGA